rnacentral:rRNA from 1 species
CCAGACUCCUACGGGAGGCAGCAGUGGGGGAUAUUGCACAAUGGGGGGAACCCUGAUGCAGCGACGCCGCGUGGGUGAAGGAGUGCUUCGGCAUGUAAAGCCCUAUCGGCAGGGAAGAAGCAAGACGGUACCUGACUAAGAAGCCCCGGCUAACUACGUGCCAGCAGCCGCGGGAAUACGUAGGGGGCGAGCGUUAUCCGGAUUCACUGGGUGUAAAGGGAGCGUAGGCGGCGCGUUAAGUCUGAUGUGAAAACCCGAGGCUCAACCACGGGAGUGCAUUGGAAACUGGCGGGCUGGAGUGCCGGAGAGGUAAGCGGAAUUCCUAGUGUAGCGGUGAAAUGCGUAGAUAUUAGGAGGAACACCAGUGGCGAAGGCGGCUUACUGGACGGCAACUGACGCUGAGGCUCGAAAGCGUGGGGAGCAAACAGGAUUAGAUACCCGCGUA